rnacentral:rRNA from 1 species
AUUGAACGCUGGCGGCAGGCCUAACACAUGCAAGUCGAGCGGAUGAAGGGAGCUUGCUCCUGGAUUCAGCGGCGGACGGGUGAGUAAUGCCUAGGAAUCUGCCUGGUAGUGGGGGAUAACGUCCGGAAACGGGCGCUAAUACCGCAUACGUCCUAAGGGAGAAAGUGGGGGAUCUUCGGACCUCACGCUAUCAGAUGAGCCUAGGUCGGAUUAGCUAGUUGGUGGGGUAAAGGCCUACCAAGGCGACGAUCCGUAACUGGUCUGAGAGGAUGAUCAGUCACACUGGAACUGAGACACGGUCCAGACUCCUACGGGAGGCAGGAGGGGGGAAUUUUGGACAAUGGGCGAAAGCCUGAUCCAGCCAGGCCGGGGGGGGAAAGAAGGUUUUCGGUUUGUAAAGCCUUUUAAGUUGGGAGGAAGGGAAGUAAGUUAAAACCUUGCUGUUUGGACGUUACCAACAAAAUAAGCCCCGGCUAACUUCGU